rnacentral:tRNA from 1 species
CCCUGGUGGUUCAGAUGGUAAAAAAUCUGUCUGCAAUGCAGGAGACCCAGGUCUGAUCCCUGGAUCAGGAA